CCUGGUUGAUCCUGCCAGUAGUCAUAUGCUUGUCUCAAAGAUUAAGCCAUGCAUGUCUAAGUAUAAGCGACUAUACUGUGAAACUGCGAAUGGCUCAUUAAAUCAGUUAUGGUUUAUUUGAUGGUACCUUGCUACUUGGAUAACCGUAGUAAUUCUAGAGCUAAUACAUGCAGGAGUUCCCGACUCACGGAGGGAUGUAUUUAUUAGAUAAGAAACCAAACCGGUCUCCGGUUGCGUGCUGAGUCAUAAUAACUGCUCGAAUCGCACGGCUCUACGCCGGCGAUGGUUCAUUCAAAUUUCUGCCCUAUCAGCUUUCGAUGGUAGGAUAGAGGCCUACCAUGGCGUUAACGGGUAACGGAGAAUUAGGGUUCGAUUCCGGAGAGGGAGCCUGAGAAAUGGCUACCACAUCCAAGGAAGGCAGCAGGCGCGUAAAUUGCCCGAAUCCUGACACAGGGAGGUAGUGACAAGAAAUAACAAUACAGGGCUAUUUUAGUCUUGUAAUUGGAAUGAGUACAAUUUACAUCUCUUCACGAGGAUCAAUUGGAGGGCAAGUCUGGUGCCAGCAGCCGCGGUAAUUCCAGCUCCAAUAGCGUAUAUUAAAGUUGUUGCAGUUAAAACGCUCGUAGUCGGAUUUCGGGGCGGGCCGACCGGUCUGCCGAUGGGUAUGCACUGGCCGGCGCGUCCUUCCACCCGGAGACCGCGCCUACUCUUAACUGAGCGGGCGCGGGAGACGGGUCUUUUACUUUGAAAAAAUCAGAGUGUUUCAAGCAGGCAGUCGCUCUUGCAUGGAUUAGCAUGGGAUAAUGAAAUAGGACUCUGGUGCUAUUUUGUUGGUUUCGAACACCGGAGUAAUGAUUAACAGGGACAGUCAGGGGCACUCGUAUUCCGCCGAGAGAGGUGAAAUUCUCAGACCAGCGGAAGACGAACCACUGCGAAAGCAUUUGCCAGGGAUGUUUUCACUGAUCAAGAACGAAAGUUAGGGGAUCGAAGACGAUCAGAUACCGUCGUAGUCUUAACCAUAAACCAUGCCGACUAGGGAUUGGAGGAUGUUCCAUUUGUGACUCCUUCAGCACCUUUCGGGAAACUAAAGUCUUUGGGUUCCGGGGGGAGUAUGGUCGCAAGGCUGAAACUUAAAGGAAUU
rnacentral:rRNA from 1 species